rnacentral:rRNA from 1 species
GAUGAACGCUGGCGGCGUGCCUCAAACAUGCAAGUCGAGCGGGGCUAUGUAAUAUCGCAAGGUAGAACAUAGCCUAGCGGCGAACGGGUGAGUAACACGUGGGUAACCUGCCUGGAAGACAGGGAUAACGAUUCGAAAGGGUCGCUAAUACCUGAUAAUAUCCUUUCAUCGCAUGGUGAUAGGAAGAAAGGGGAAACCCGCUUUCAGAUGGGCCCGCGUCCCAUCAGCUAGUUGGUAAGGUAAAGGCUUACCAAGGCGACGACGGGUAGCCGGUCUGAGAGGAUGUACGGCCACACUGGGACUGAGAUACGGCCCAGACUCCUACGGGAGGCAGCAGUUGGGAAUCUUAGGCAAUGGACGAAAGUCUGACCUAGCGACGCCGCGUGAGGGAAGAAGGCCUUCGGGUUGUAAACCUCUGUCUUCAGGGACGAAGAGGGUGUGGGAGACACACCGAAGCCGGUACCUGAGGAGGAAGCCCCGGCUAACUACGUG